UAGGGAAUCUUCGUCAAUGGACGGAAGUCUGACCGAGCAACGCCGCGUGAGUGAAGAAGGUUUUCGGAUCGUAAAGCUCUGUUGUUAGAGAAGAACGUUGGUAGGAGUGGAAAAUCUACCAAGUGACGGUAACUAACCAGAAAGGGACGGCUAACUACGUGCCAGCAGCCGCGGUUAUACGUAGGUCCCGAGCGUUGUCCGGAUUUAUUGGGCGUAAAGCGAGCGCAGGCGGUUCUUUAAGUCUGAAGUUAAAGGCAGUGGCUUAACCAUUGUACGCUUUGGAAACUGGAGGACUUGAGUGCAGAAGGGGAGAGAGGAAUUCCAGGUGUAGCGGUGAAAUGCGUAGAUAUAUGGAGGAACGCCGGUGGCGAAAGCGGCUCUCUGGUCUGUAACUGACGCGGAGGCUCGAAAGCGUGGGGAGCAAACAGG
rnacentral:rRNA from 1 species